rnacentral:rRNA from 1 species
GACGAACGCUGGCGGCGUGCCUAAUACAUGCAAGUAGAACGCGGAAGGAGGAGCUUGCUCUUCUGGAUGAGUUGCGAACGGGUGAGUAACGCGUAGGUAACCUGCCUGGUAGCGGGGGAUAACUAUUGGAAACGAUAGCUAAUACCGCAUAACAGUAGAUGUUGCAUGACAUUUACUUAAAAGGUGCACUUGCAUCACUACCAGAUGGAUCUGCGUUGUAUUAGCUAGUUGGGGGGCUAACGGCUCACCAAGGCGACGAGGCAUAGCCGACCUGCGAGGGUAAUCGGCCAAGCUGGGACUGGGGGACGGCCCAGACUCCUGCGGGAGGCAGCAGUAGGGAAUCUUCGGCAAUGGACGGAAGUCUGACCGAGGAACGCCGCGUGAGUGACGGAGGUUUUCGGAUCGCGAAGCUCUGUUAUAAGAGAAGAACGAGAGUGAGAGUGAAAAGUGCACACUGUGACGGUAUCUGAACAGAAAGGUACGGCUAACUACGUG